ensembl:lncRNA uncharacterized LOC114460012
AUUUUAUAGUAGAGCGUUAGAAGUUGAGGAUUUUACUUUAAUUUGGGUGUUUUAUCGCCUUGAACUGAAAACUAUCUCUUAAAACGAGCUCUAAGCUGCAACCACAGACACAGGUCAUGCAGACGUACUGCUGGCCCGGUCACCAGACGCAGCUCCUGCGGGCGCUGCAGCAGCAGCAGAACAACGCCCAGUACUGUGACACGCUGCUGCAAACUGAGGGUAUUUCCAUUCCCGCUCACAGCUGCGUCCUCGCCGCUCUCAGUCCGUAUCUUUCCCAGAAGCUGUCGUCCGUCUCGGGUCCGCCCACCGGACAGAAGCGGCAGCUCCGCCUCCCGACCGUGACCUCGGGCACGCUGCUGAAGCUGGUCGUUUUGCUGUAUUCAGGAGAGCUGAAGGUCAAAGGUGACGCAGAGCAGAGAGACGUCCUGGCCGCCGCCCACCGCCUGGGCAUCCCUGGCCUGGAGGUGGGAUGGACGGACCGGGGGGCGGAGCAGAGGCGUGGUUGUACGGCCAAGGUCCAGGAAGCACAGGUCCAGGUCGACAUGAGCUCACGUAGAGGUGGAGCUCCUCAGGAGAAAAGUGUAGCGUCUACUAGUACGCAGACGGACCCAGACCAAGGAGAGGGACGUGAUCCCACCAUCAACUCUUUAACUAUCCCAACUCGUCUGAUUAACGAGUCCAACUCCACCUCAGCUGCUCUACAUCCUGUCGUCAUCCAACGGACGACGGGACGUGAUGAUGGAGGAGUGAAGAGCGGCGGUAAAGGUUCAGGAGGAGCAGACGCAGCGGGACAACCUCGAAGAACCGCCGUAGGAGUGAAGAGCGUCGCUAGGAUGAGGCAGAUGAUGGAAUCGGCUCAGAUUUCCAUCAAGGUGAAGCUCAGGAGGAGAACCACGGGAGAGGCAUCAUGGGAGGUCGUGAACAUUCAGGACAGCGACAAGACGCUGGUGGACAACAUAUCCCUCAAACAGAUCCACUCACAGUGUAGCGUGUCCGACUCCUCGCCGCGUUCCUCCACCAGCUUCAGCACUGACCAAUCCACAGAGUUAGAACCUCCUCAAGCUUUACUAGAAGAGACGGACGAGCAGGUGCAACGAAUGCUGGAGGACAUCAUGUUUGGUCUGAACAUCGUGCCCAGCAUAGAGAAGGACUGCAAAAAGACCCAGGCCUCAGACACAGACGUCCACGGUUUCCUGCUCCAUCAGUUUGAGGCUCACACUCCUCCUCCGUCCCUGAGUCUGACUCCACAGCGAUCAGAGGUCGUGACCCCCAGAGACCCACAGGUCUCGGGGGACGACCCGUCCUUCCUGUGCUUUGAUUAUUUCUGCCUCCCUCAGUGUCUCUCUCCGUUGGCGACGUAUACGUCACCGUCCGAUGCUCAGGUUUCAGAGAACGACAGGACGGGAAUCCCGAGCCGAGCGCUGUUUCCUGAAGUCCCUGAGUCGCUGCAUUUUCCCUCGAAGGAAGAAGAUGCGCCACGUCGGCAAAAUUCCAAAGAUCCAGAAUGUGAAGAGAAAGAAGAAGUUUCAAACAGUGAAAAGACAAUAAAUGAACCAAAUCAGCAGAUUUCAGAGUGCUCUGUGAAUCUAUCGUGUCAAAACCUGCUGGUGACGCAUCAGAACCUCCGCGGCGUGUUGUUGGGUCAGAGCGGCGCCACCAGCGUCGAGCAUCCUCGGGUCACGACCAGAGGAUCGGCGAGGAAAACUCAGCUGGUGCGACUCAAAACGGGAACGGAGAGUUCAGCGGGGACACCGAGACAAAGACGAGGACAAACUUUCAAGAUCAAGGUGGAGAACGUGGGAAAAGACCUGAAGGACACGGAAAACGUAGCAAAGGUAAAAAACGAGGAAACAAUUGUGGACGACGUGAACCCUGUGGAGAAAAACGUGGAAAGAUAUAAGAGAAAUAUAGAAAACAUGAAGAAAAAUGUGCAAAACGUCAAGAGAAAUGUGAAAAAAAUGAAGAAGAAGGUGGAAAACAUGAAGAAGAAUGUGCAAAACAACUUGAAAGACAUGGAAACCAAGGAGAAAAAGGUGGAAAACGUCAAGAGAAAUGUGAAAAAAAUUAAGAAAAACAUGGAGAAUAAUGUGGAAAACAACAUGAAAGACGUGGAAACCAUCAAGAGAAAUGUAAAAAAAAUCAAGAAAAACAUGAAGAAGAAUGUGGAAAACAAUAUAAAAGAUGUGAAAAUAAAAGAGAAAACGGUGGAAAAAGAUGUAGAAAACGUGAGGGAAGAAGAAGAGGGAGCGUUAAAGAGAAGAAGCAGAAAACGUAAGCGAGACGUAGGCGUAGGCAGAGCCGACGCAAUCCCUCGGAACGGGAAGAGGAAACGGGAAAAGGAAACGCCUGUAGACGAUAAGGAAGUUUCCCGAGCGGAGACUUUAAAGUGGUUUCAGGAGCUCGUCCAACAGCAAACGUUCAAAAGGAGGCGGAGCAAAGGAUCGACGGAGACGAGGACGAAAGAAGUUUCUACGGCGAAGGAGGAUGAAGGUCGGUGUGUGAAAACCACAGAAGAAGAAGGAGAAAGAGAGAGUGGUGGGAUUACAGCAGUUAGGAUCAGUGAAGAAGAAGGAAGUGAAGAGGCCGAGCGUCAACUCAAAGCUGCUGAUGAAGUGCAGGCAGUGAUGAAGGAGAGCUGUGAGGAGGAGGUAGACGUGGUCCUGUGCUCGCCGCUCAGAGACACGCCCGCCUGUCUAAGCCACGCCCACAGCGAGGACACCAGUGAGGAUGACGAGGACGUGGAUGUGACCGGAGAUUAAAGAGCCGUUCACCGUCAGAAGUUUAUGUUCACAAGUUUAUGGUUUGGUUUCAGGGACGUGGUUUCCUUUUUCUCUUAUGUCAAACACACUGUUUUACAUAAAAAAAAAGCUUUGUUUACGAACCCUGCCUUCUCAUUUAAUUAUUAAAUAGAAUAAUGAUGUUACAUAAACAGUAUAAAUAGAAAAAUAUGAAAAUAAAAUAAUUAAAUUAAAGAACUAAAAAACUCA